rnacentral:rRNA from 1 species
CCUACGGGUGGUUGCAGUGGGGAAUUUUGCGCAAUGGGCGAAAGCCUGACGCAGCAACGCCGCGUGGGUGAUGAAGGUCUUCGGAUCGUAAAACCCUGUCGUUGGGGACGAAGGUGGGGGCGUUAAUAGCGUUCCUGCUUGACGGUACCCGGAGAGGAAGCCCCGGCUAACUCUGUGCCAGCAGCCGCGGUAAUACAGAGGGGGCAAGCGUUACGCGGAAUUAGCGGGCGUAAAGGGCGCGUAGGGAUUUGUAAUCCCCGAGCUCAACCUGGGAACUGCAUCUAAGACUGGAAGGCUAGAGUACUGGAGAGGGUGGUGGAAUUUCUCGUGUAGCGGUGAAAUGCGUAGAGAUGGGGAGGAACACCAGUGGCGAAGGCGGCCACCUGGACAGUAACUGACGCUGAGGCGCGAAAGUGUGGGUAGCAAACAGGAUUAGAUACCCGUGUAGUC